AGUAUAGGUUCUAAUUGACAGUGGAGAGAUAAGGGUCCAGUUAAUUAGUUGGAUGAGUCUUAUCAGUAGUAGGAUUAUUUAGACUGGUGUAAUAGUCUUAAGGUCCAUAGAGUGAAUAGGUAGUUAUUUCUAUAGGUUAUACAUGUAGUUAAGGAUAGUCAUAAUAAAGUAGAAGCUAGAGUACACUGUAGUUACUUAGUGCCUAGUGUUUAUAUAUAGAUAUGAGGUCAUUAGUGUAGAUUUAGUAGGUCUUGUUAUAUAUAUAGCUAUGAGGUCAUUGGUGUUGACUGAAUAGGUCUUGUUAUAUAUAUAGCUAUGAGGUCAUUGGUGCGGACAGAGUAGGUCCAGAUAUAUUUAGUAUGAGGUCAUCUAGGAAGGGGGAUGGAUGAUGUCAUUCUAAGAAUAGAGAGAUAGCAGGAGUAAUUAUAAGGGGUUGAGACAAAAACAGAGGGGAGUUGAGAGUAGGGAGUUCUUAGAGUAAAGAGAUAGAGAGAGGUAGUGUUAUAGCGGAGAGUAGAUUUGGACUUGGGGAAAACUGGAGAAGUUUGGAUUCACUUUCCAGGAUUCAGUGUAGUUUAUAGUUGAAUUGUAGCUUAGUUUAGUGCUUUAGUUUUAUGUAGUUAUUUAGUGACAACUUGAGAUGACUUUACUUUACUUUUGGAUUACUUUACUUUACUUUUGGGAUUACUUUACUUUACUUUUGGGAUUACUUUACUUUACUUUUGGAUUACUUUACUCGUGAGAUUUAUUUAUCUUUAUAUUGGGAUUUAUCGGAAAAGCCUGGAAGACACAUUGGAAGUUAUUAAAUUGAUUGGCAAGUAAUUUUAAUAAACCUUGUUGUUCUGAAAUAAACGUAUACUUAAAUAAAACUGAAGGAAUUUUA